ACUAGAGUAACUCAGUUGGUUAGAGUGUGUGGCUCUUAACCACAAGGUCAAAGGUUCAAGCCCUUUCUUUAGCA